rnacentral:sRNA from 1 species
AUGUACCCCCUUACACUCCGAUUCCUCCGCGCCGUCCGCACCCCACCUGACGGCCGCUCGCUACGUUUUUGUUAGCC